rfam:Planococcus rifietoensis strain M8, complete genome.
UCUAGUGAUGAUGGCAAAGAGGUCACACCCGUUCCCAUCCCGAACACGGAAGUUAAGCUCUUUUGCGCCGAUGGUAGUUGGGGGUUUCCCCCUGUGAGAGUAGGACGUCGCUAGUC